GAUGAACGCUGGCGGCGUGCCUAAUACAUGCAAGUCGAGCGAACGGACGAGAAGCUUGCUUCUCUGAUGUUAGCGGCGGACGGGUGAGUAACACGUGGAUAACCUACCUAUAAGACUGGGAUAACUUCGGGAAACCGGAGCUAAUACCGGAUAAUAUUUUGAACCGCAUGGUUCAAAAGUGAAAGACGGUCUUGCUGUCACUUAUAGAUGGUUCCGCGCUGCAUUAGCUAGUUGGUAAGGUAACGGCUUACCAAGGCAACGAGGCAUAGCCGACCUGAGAGGGUGAUGGCCCACACUGGAACGGAGACACGGUCCAGACUCCUACGGGAGGCAGCAGUAGGGAAUCUUCCGCAAUGGUCGAAAGCCUGACGGAGCAACGCCGAGUGAGUGAUGAAGGUCUUCGGAUCGUAAAACUCUGUUAUUAGGGAAGAACAUAUGUGUAAGUAACUGUGCACAUCGUGACGGUACCUAAUCAGAAAGCCACGGCUAACUACGUG
rnacentral:rRNA from 1 species